UGUCUGCAGCCUGAAGAUUUGGGCGGGUAUGCACCUGGGACGGGGCUGCACGUGCAGGCCCGCCCACACUGCUUCUCAUUGGUUAGUGGCGUGAAGUCAUGACGUCGAUUAUAGCAAGUUUUCAUUUCCGAUGUUAAUCGCUGCAUGGUGAGUACAAGCUACUGUUUUUGUUCUGUUUUAUUUACAAUUUUUAAUUUUGAAGUGGCGUUUAGUGUGAUGUUAAAAUAACUAGGACCGCGCGUGUGUGCGCGCGUGUGCGGUUUGGUGGGAUUAUGAUUAAAACGAAGCAAAACUGAACCAAAAGAAGAAAUAUAGGAUUUAAGAGUUAAUAGUAACAACAACAAAGUUAUAUUCUAGGACUUUUUUCUAUGAAUACAUUUUUGAAUGUAAACUAUUUUGAUAUGUUAUUGAUAAGUAUACAUUUAUUGAUUGAUCAGGAAACCAUUUCAGUAUUCACUGAGCUUUCUGACAGUAGGGACCUUUGAUUUUACAGAGGUUAGUGAAAUAGCCUAUACAAUAGAAACCCCCCAUAUAAUUAAAAGUAAACUAACUCAGUAUUAAUUUUUAACUUAGCCUGUCAUGCAUCAGUGUCUGCUGCUUUUGGAGAAUUCCCCCUUUGAUGUUUGUUUGUUUUCUUCUUUUUUUUUAUACAUACUGUUCAUUGAAGCUUCAAUUACCAAAUGCUUAAAUUUAGCAUUUUAAAAUAAAUGUUUUUAACUAUAGAUAAAUUCAUUACAUGUAUCAAUCUAAACAAGUGGAUUUCAAUUAUGGUCCUAAGGGAUGUCAUUAAGAACAAACUGUUUUUAUGAGACUUUAUAUUUUAAACUUUUGAAGGUCAGAGAUGCUGAAAGAGCAACUCCAGUAAAAGAGGAGCGUAGAGAGCAGAGGUGAUGAAAUCCCCCGGCCUGUGCAUUAUUUGACCAAGAUGCCACCUGACAUCCUCUGGCAGAUCCUGAUGGGAGUCGUAACAAAGAGGACGAUAUGGCUUUAUGGUGACUUUCCCUGACAUGCAAGGUUUUCAGAGACGUUUUCAGCAUGCCCAAGUUCAGAGAA